GGUGAGCUAUGGAGAUGGUUCAACUUCCAGAGGCUUCCUCAUAAAUUUUUGGAAUUUUUGAGACACAGAUAAACUUCGGGCCACAGGAGGAGUUAUUUUACAGAGCAACCUGUUUUCUUUCUCGCAGGUUUAACGUCGAUUAUUUAAUUGUAUUAUUAUUCUCUAAAUUUGUAAUUUAGAACUCCGCAUGUGCUAGUAGUAGCAUUAAGCCUGUCAGGGACUGUAUGAAUUCAAGUUUUCAUAUUAAUAAAUGAAAAGAAAAAAAUUUUAUGAGAUUUAAACAGUUUGUAAAUGAGGCAACAGGGUUGAGCGAGGCUCCCCUUAUUUCA